GUGCUCACUUGGGCAGUACAUUUACUGAAAUUAGAACAAUACGGAGAAGAUUAGCAUGGCUCCUGCACAAGGAUGACGUGGAAAUUCAUGAAGCAUUCCAUCUUUUU
ensembl:snRNA U6 U6 spliceosomal RNA